CUAAAAUUUUCAACACAUGCUGACUGUCAAUGCACAGCCUUAGCAAAGCAUGUAAACACAGACUUCAAAGAAAGACUUGGAUGCCCUCAGUAUACAGCACUUUCUAAGCAAUGUGCAAGUGAGCAUGAGCACACCCAGGUCAUCAUGGGAAUGUCAGUUAAAGAUCAUGGAAGUGCUUCAGUAACUCCAGGCUGGGUACAUAACAAGGACAAUCUUAACACCAUUAAUAACAAGAGCAUCUAUGUCCUGUUUGAAGGCCAUAGAUCGUGAGAAAUUGUUAAACACUUUUGGUCAUAUUAGGUGGCAGUCAUUUGUCACCUUUUUCCAACUCUAGUAAUUCUA